GACGAACGCUGGCGGCGUGCCUAAUACAUGCAAGUAGAACGCACAGUUUAUACCGUAGCUUGCUACACCAUAGACUGUGAGUUGCGAACGGGUGAGUAACGCGUAGGUAACCUGCCUGGUAGCGGGGGAUAACUAUUGGAAACGAUAGCUAAUACCGCAUAAUAUUAAUUAUUGCAUGAUAAUUAAUUGAAAGGUGCAAUUGCACCACUACCAGAUGGACCUGCGUUGUAUUAGCUAGUAGGUGAGGUAACGGCUCACCUAGGCGACGAUACAUAGCCGACCUGGGAGGGGGAUCGGCCCACCUGGGAACGAGAACAGGCCCAGAACCCUAAGGGAGGCAGCAGGAGGGAAGCUUCGGCAAUGGACGAAAGUCUGAACGAGCAACGCCGCGUGAGUGAAGAAGGUUUUCGGGUCGUAAAGCUCUGUUGUAAGAGAAGAACGGGUGUGAGAGUGGAAAGUUCACACUGUGACGGUAUCUUACCAGAAAGGGACGGCUAACUACGUG
rnacentral:rRNA from 1 species